UACGGGGGGGGCAAGCGUUGUUCGGAAUUACUGGGCGUAAAGGGCUCGUAGGUGGCCAACUAAGUCAGACGUGAAAUCCCUCAGCUUAACUGGGGAACUGCGUCUGAUACUGGAUGGCUUGAGUUUGGGAGAGGGAUGCGGAAUUCCAGGUGUAGCGGUGAAAUGCGUAGAUAUCUGGAGGAACACCGGUGGCGAAGGCGGUUCUCUGGGCCUGACCUGACGCUGAGGAGCGAAAGCGUGGGGAGCGAACAGG
rnacentral:rRNA from 1 species